CCUUGCGCGCGCUGCGCUGGGCUCCGCUCUGCAGCCGGCGGGACGCGGCGGCGGCGGCACUCGCGGUCCUUUGUGCUCCGGCGGCGGCCUCUCGGGUGCUCGCUGCGCGUCCUCGGCCUCUCGGUCGGGCAGCCCGAGCUCUGCGGUGCCGGACCAUGUCGACGGCAGGAACGGGCGCGGGCGUGGAGGCGGGCUUCUCCAGCGAGGAGCUGCUGUCGCUCCGCUUCCCGCUGCACCGCGCCUGCCGCGACGGGGACCUGGGCGCGCUCUGCUCGCUGUUGCAGCGGACGCCGCGCGCGCAGCUGGCCGCCGAGGACUCCUUCUACGGCUGGACGCCCGUGCACUGGGCCGCGCACUUCGGCAAGCUGGAGUGCCUGAUCCAGUUGGUGAGAGCCGGGGCCACGCUGGACGUUUCCACGACGCGCUAUGCACAGACCCCUGCCCACAUCGCUGCUUUCGGGGGACACCCCGGGUGCCUCCUCUGGCUGAUCCAAGCCGGGGCCAGCGUUAACAAACCGGACUGUGAGGGCGAGACCCCCAUUCACAAGGCAGCUCGCUCCGGGAGCCUGGACUGCAUCAGUGCCCUGGUGGCCAACGGGGCCCACAUCGACCUGAGGAACGCCAGUGGCCUGACAGCAGCAGACAUUGCUCAAACCCAGGGUUUCCAAGAGUGCACCCAGUUUCUCUUGAACCUGCAGAACUGUCACCUGAGCCGUUUCUAUGAUAACGGCCCCAUAAACGGGGGCCAUCAGAACCGAUUCCCUAAUCAUACUAGUGCGGGAGCCAAUCGCAAGAGAUGCUUCGAAGAUCCAGAGCCCUUUGGAGUGAAGAAGGCUCGAACUGAAGCUCGGAGCUUGGGUCCCUGCACGCCGCUGGGGAACAGCGACGCAGACGAUGAAGCUGACAAAAUGCUGGUCGACAGAGAGCUCACGGCUGUCACAGGUGGGAGUGGACAGUUCCCUGUUAGCUGCGGCAGCAGCCCCAUGGUCGAAGACAGCAGACAGCAGGAGGGUGGUUCUGUCGGACCCAGAGAAAUAGAAGUAUACACGGUCUCAGCGAUGCAGACGCCUUGCCGCUGCAGAAGCCAGUGUGCGUACUAUUUCUGACCUGAGUGUCCUCCCCAGCGCUGCACUUUGUUGUCCGACGUUUUAAAGAAUGUUACACUACAGUUUGCGCAUCUUGGGCGAGUUUGUAGAUACGAGGAUGAGUGUGUCAGGUGCAUUCUGUAGACAUGAGAUGUUUGAGUGCAAUCUUCCUAUUUUGGUUUGACGCUUCCGCUUAACGUGCCUUGUUUAAUUUCAAAGAGGUUUCGCAUGCUUACUUUCCUGACAUGUGACCUUUGGGUGAACACAUCAGACAUCUGUAGCUAGUAGUUCCGCCGGGUGCACAGCAAGGAUGAUUUGCUGUGGACAUGGAGGACGGGUAGAUGGUUUUGACCCGCGACUGGGCUCGCCAGCGUGGGGCCUCCCACUCGCCUCUGCUGGCUGCUGUGGUUUCUGGGAGGGCAGCUCGGUCCAGCCAAGCGCUGGGCGCCGUGGCCCGCAGACACGUACGCGCUGCGGGUGCUCAUGUCUCUGCACGGUCGAUGGUUCAGGCUGUUUCUUUAGCAUUCAGAAUCUCUCAAGACUUUUCCUUGGAGUUAAUACUUUUCUCUGCCAAUUUUCUCUUUAGAUGACCAUGAAAACAUCUUAGCAGUUUUCUUACUGUGUUAAUAUAUGUAGAAAUAGAUACUGGUUUGUUUAAGGUUUUAUUAUGUCUCUAUGCUAAAUUCUUCACUGGGGUAAGAGAUUAUGCAUUAUGCUUCCCAGACAUACACGAAAAACUAUUUCUGUGACUAAAAAUGGAAGGAAAAUGUGUACAUCUUUCUAGAAGCUACAGGGUUACAGGUGGAAUCACCUUUUUGCCACAUCAUUAAAUGGGUAGAUUUUCUAUGGAAAAUUCUAAUACGUUAGUAAUUUAAAGACCUUGGCUAAAGACAAGUAACAAAACUCAAAGCUUUUCAAAACAAAUGACAUAGCUACAUGCUUUAAAAGGCAGAAGUAACCUCUAAACUUCAGGCGUUAAUAUCCUGCAUUUUCAGGCCAAAUUUAAUAGCCAGCGUGGGUGUCGCGUUGAAAAGGCCACACUUUUAUUUCAAGCCCAGCUUGUCCUGUGUGACGGGCGCCAUACUUCCGGUCACCUCGCGUACAGCACCGUCUGCCCACGUGCACAAAACGGGCUGAGCUCCUGGGGGCCGUGCCAUGGGCAGGCAAGUAGUGUGCGGGAGCACGGGCCCGGAGAGGCGUGAGGGGCAAGGAGCUAGGACGGUGUUGGAGGCAGCCAGGCGGGGUCCCGAAUAGCCAGUCUCUAGGAUGUCCGCCGUUCUCGUGCUCAGCUGGAUUAGAUUUUCCACAAGGACAUGAGGUCAUCAAGUAGCCUUGGUGUUGACAUUGCGUCCAGCGCUCGCCCUCGCACCCCCUGGGGACUAGAGGAGACGCGUCGCACGGAGCUCAGAGAACUGAGUCAAGGCGGCUCCGACCUCUGACCCGGUGCUCCUGGACCUUUUCAGGGCUGAUCCCCCGGAAACCUCAUGUCCGUGUCUGUUACUGGGACACAGUUAUUUGUCUUAGUGACCAUCAGGGUCGCCAUCAUACUCAUGAAUUUCAUCACCCAGGAACACUGAUUAAAGUUCUCUGGGAUUAGCUCAUUUUAUUUCUUUUUAUUCUACUUCAUGUUCAGUUCUUGAAAUACUACUUCUCUAGCCUUGAGUUUUAACUAAAUAAAAGAGCUGAUUUAGGGGGGAAAAAAAGUCCCUUAUCCUCUGAAGAAUUUAUAGCAGUUAUGAAGCAUGAUUAUCACUUAAACUGCCAGGAAAAUGAUUAAUGGAAUGUGUAGAAGGUGUUUUUGUUCAUUGAACAAGCCAUGAUUUUUUAUUGGCAGGAAGAUUUGCGGGACACGCAGAAACCUAUGUCCAAGUGCAAAUCAGACACCUGGCUGCCUCAUUAGAUGAAUGAAGGCUUGGACGUCAGAGUCCACUCACCUGGCGAACUCGGAAGGCCCCGCCAGGGCUGGCGCUGCUGCGCCGCCCGUCCCAGACCGCACGCGUGAGAGCGCUUAGUGUCCCGUCCUCGCCGGCCGCUUGCCGCCACACCGGUGCCACGCGGACGCGAGGGUCGCUAAGAUCUGAGCUCCCGUGUCAGAGCGCCAGGCCUGAGCCAUGGGCGCGUCCCUGGAGCUCGCGUGGCGCUGCCUCGCCCGGUCCCAGGCGCCCCCGGCCCCCAUGUCGGCGGCCACCUUCCUUCCUUUCCUCUUUUCCUUCAGAGCUGGAGGGGUGGGGGCUUAUUUAGCCCGUGGGAGACCUCCCCUUCGUUCUGCUGGCCGGUCUCGCAGGUGAUUUUUAAAAUGUCUUCCUGAAAGUAGUCUUGACACGAGAGCACUUUCUCGAUUCUGGUGUUGCUGGCGGCGCUACGGGGCUGCUGGUCGUUUUCAUGCCGCAGAGCUGUCGCCUCAGGCGUCCGCAUCCAGUCACUCGGUGCAGCCAAAAGCCAGAGAUGUGUCUUGUCUUACCAGGAACAUGCUGCUGUUGGUUCUAUUUUUAAAUCUGCCUAUGCAGUUUUUUACCUCCGGAAAAGGAACUGGUUUGUUCUAAAGAAAAAAAAAAAAAAGAA